rnacentral:rRNA from 1 species
AAUUUUGGACACUGGGGGAAACUCUGAUCCAGCCAUCCCGCGUGUAUGAUGAAGGCCUUCGGGUUGUCCAGCACUUUUGGCAGGAUAGAAAAGCCACCGGUUAAUACCUGGUGGUGCUGACGGUACCUUCAGAAUAAGCACCGGCUAACUACGUGCCAGCAGCCGCGGUAAUACGUAGGGUGCAAGCGUUAAUCGGAAUUACUGGGCGUAAAGCGUGCGCAGGCGGUUCGGCAAGAAGGAUGUGAAAUCCCGGGGCUUAACCUCGGAACUGCAUUCUUAACUGCCGGGCUAGAGUAUGUCAGAUGGGGGUAGAAGUCCACGUGUAGCAGUGAAAUGCGUAGAGAUGUGGAGGAAUACCGAUGGCGAAGGCAGCCCCCUGGGAUGAUACUGACGCUCAUGCACGAAAGCGUGGGGAGCAAACA